rnacentral:rRNA from 1 species
AUUGAACGCUGGCGGCAGGCCUAACACAUGCAAGUCGAGCGGAUGAAGGGAGCUUGCUCCUGGAUUCAGCGGCGGACGGGUGAGUAAUGCCUAGGAAUCUGCCUGGUAGUGGGGGAUAACGUCCGGAAACGGGCGCUAAUACCGCAUACGUCCUGAGGGAGAAAGUGGGGGAUCUUCGGACCUCACGCUAUCAGAUGAGCCUAGGUCGGAUUAGCUAGUUGGUGGGGUAAAGGCCUACCAAGGCGACGAUCCGUAACUGGUCUGAGAGGAUGAUCAGUCACACUGGAACUGAGAAACGGUCCAGACUCCUACGGGAGGCAGCAGUGGGGAAUAUUGGACAAUGGGCGAAAGCCUGAUCCAGCCAUGCCGCGUGUGUGAAGAAGGUCUUCGGAUUGUAAAGCACUUUAAGUUGGGAGGAAGGGCAGUAAGUUAAUACCUUGCUGUUUUGACGUUACCAACGGAAUAAGCACCGGCUAACUUCGU